GUAAUGCCAAAAAUACCCUUCGU
rnacentral:siRNA from 1 species